UACGUAGGGGGGCUAGCGUUGUCCGGAAUCAUUGGGCGUAAAGAGCGUGUAGGCGGUCCGGUAAGUCCGCUGUGAAAGUCGGGGGGCUCAACCCUCGAAUGCCGGUGGAUACUGUCGGGCUAGAGUGCGGAAGAGGCGAGUGGAAUUCCUGGUGUAGCGGUGAAAUGCGUAGAUAUCGAGAGGAACACCUGCGGCGAAGGCGGGUUGCUGGGCUGACACUGACGCUGAAGUGCGAAAGCUAGGGGAGCGAACGGG
rnacentral:rRNA from 1 species